GAAUCCCAAAAAUCAACAACACAAGAAAAUCAAAAUCCACCCCCACAUAAUAAACUCAGAUGCAACAAAUUCAAACUUUUAAAGGUAGAAUUUCUACCUGAUAAACUGUAUUCCGAUAAAACCCUUUUGAAGUGAUGAAGCUUUAGGAUAUUAUCUUCCUUGUUCUGUUUAAUAAUUUAAAGGAAAAUUUAGUCGUACUCUUUGAACUCAUUUAUCCCCAAGUUUUCCAGCAAUUUCUGAACUUUCUCGUUCUCUCCACCAUUGUAGUCUCUGGGAAUUCUUAUGCUUCCACCAGAUUCCAAGAAGAUUGAGUCGAUUGUCUCCGCCAGAUGCCUNNNNN
rnacentral:lncRNA from 1 species